rnacentral:rRNA from 1 species
UGGCGAACGGGUGAGUAAUAUAUCGGAACGUGCCCAGUCGUGGGGGAUAACGUAGAGAAAUUUACGCUAAUACCGCAUACGAUCUAAGGAUGAAAGCGGGGGCUUCGCAAGAACCUCGCGCGAUUGGAGCGGCCGAUAUCAGAUUAGGUUGUUGGUGAGGUAAAAGCUCACCAAGCCUGCGAUCUGUAGCUGGUCUGAGAGGACGACCAGCCACACUGGAACUGAGACACGGUCCAGACUCCUACGGGAGGCAGCAGUGGGGAAUUUUGGACAAUGGACGCAAGUCUGAUCCAGCAAUGCCGCGUGCAGGACGAAGGCCUUCGGGUUGUAAACUGCUUUUGUACGGAACGAAACGGUCUGCUUUAAUACAGUGGGCUAAUGACGGUACCGUAAGAAUAAGCACCGGCUAACUACGUGCCAGCAGCCGCGGUAAUACGUAGGGUGCGAGCGUUAAUCGGAAUUACUGGGCGUAAAGCGUGCGCAGGCGGUUAUAUAAGACAGAUGUGAAAUCCCCGGGCUCAACCUGGGACCUGCAUUUGUGAC